rnacentral:rRNA from 1 species
UACGGAGGGUGCAAGCGUUAUCCGGAUUCACUGGGUUUAAAGGGUGCGUAGGAGGGCAGGUAAGUCAGUGGUGAAAUCUCCAAGCUUAACUUGGAACUGCCGUUGAUACUAUCGUCUUGAAUAUUGUGGAGGUGAGCGGAAUAUGUCAUGUAGCGGUGAAAUGCUUAGAUAUGACAUAGAACACCAAUUGCGAAAGGCAGCGU